UUUUACUAUCUCUUUCGGAAAUACGAUCUCCGAGGAUUUUCGGGUGGUAAUUCCGUCGUAACCGUUUUUGACCCCAACACCGGCUUGAUACAAGGUUUCCCUGAAGAGAAUAUCCGAAUAUUUUCCAGGGAGAAAUGUAGAUUCUUUCCCUUUCCGAAAUAUUUCUUCAUAAAUAUAGGAGAUCCGUUGAUAUCUCACGCGCCGAAGGAGGGCUAUUUGAAUUUUGAAAUCAUCUUGAGAUCCGAGGUUUCCAGAGCACGCGAUCUUGGCCUUUAUAUGCUUCAGCUUUUCCCCAUCUUCUUUACAUCCAAGCCGACAAUAUCUUUACUUCAGGUAUUACAUUUUAUCCCUCUAUUUCUUUGCUACUGAGAAUUUCUCUAGGUAGAUCGAGCCGUCUUAGUCAGUUAGGGUUAGAGAUUGACUUCCCUACGAUCCUCGCGGCUUGUUGAAUAGGACCAAAGGAAAUGGUGAACUGGUGGUCAGUGAACCUGUGGAUGUCUUUAUUCUUUGUGGAGAAAUGGUGAGGCUCUCGGAAAAGACUUGCUUCAGAUGACAUUCGUUGUGCCAUACACAGUGCAGACCAAUGAAGCCUAAAAUAACAGAUUUAUAUAUACAUGUUGAGUAGGUUAGAUUACAAAGAACGAUGGUUAUCAAUUUGAGGAGUUUUAGAUUAUGAGGCUGUACCUUUCGUCGAUCAGUAGGAGCUCAAGGCGAAUGAGAAAAUUUGGCGGUGCAAAUAGCCAGAGAAGAAGUGUCAGAAGUAAAAUCAUAGCAUAUACUAAGAUCUCUUGGAACAGAGCAUUACCGCGUCUCCCUCACCGCAAAUAGCACAGUUUAAGAUUUGUUUCAUACCUUUGCUAGCUCCAUCGUGAGGAAUAUGAGUUCUGGAUUACUGAGAUAUGAAAAUGACAAACAAAAGGCUUGAGCUGGCUUUCCUAGCUUCCAGAAGUCCUCUUGAGUCACUGUAAGCACCUGAUGACACACAGAUAACCGGCUAACUAAUGAGUUUGCAAAUCAAGAAAAGAUAAUGCUCAGCUCUUGGAAAUAUCAUUCCAACAUUUGGGUCAUCUAGUAGAUAAGGAGCUUGAUAGAGCACAACCACCUGCAAAAAUUGUUUGUUAAUUUUAUUAUCUAGACGAACUGAAGAUCACAUGUAUGUCUUCAUUUUAAGUCUCUUUUUCUAGAGUAAAGCCAAUAAUUAGAGGCACAAGAUGAUCAAAAGUGUAUACCUGUUUGCCUUUCAUAGAGCUUACCACUUACGGCAUACUGACACUUCUUCAUGUUUUCAUUUAGAGGUCGUAUUCGAGAGCCAUUUAUCUUCACACGUUACAGCAAUCGCAUACCGAACUUCAACCUUAUCGAAACAAAAGAAAAGAAAUUGUGAGAAUCCGUAAGACUGGAUCAAAUGAAUCGACAUCAAAACUAAAAGGCGACGGCUUUUAAAAUGGGUUAUCAACAACAUUGACGAAAAAAAGAAAUUGAUCAUUGCCAUAACUUUAGAUUCGAACUACAGAGACUUGCCGGUGGAGACAUGGGACUUUCGGUUGGAUUUUGUUAACAGAGCUUUCGAUUUUUCGCUGGAGGCUUUCGGGUUUGCUUGCUUGCAAGUAAGUUCAGACGAAGCGGUUGAGCAAUCUUUAUAUGAGGAUAAAGAUAGGGAGGUGGAACGAAACUACAAAGGAAUUAGUGAGCAGCAUUGAUUGAUCAAGAAGAGCUCACCGAAACGGACAUCAGGGAGAACCAAGAUGGUGAAGACGAAGUGGAACGCAAUCGAUGCGUCAGAUAGUAUGAUUUUUGGUUGAUGGGUUUGACAUAGGAUCAAGUUAAUUUUUUAGAACACUCUAAGCCCAUUUCUAUCUUCCCUCUGUAGCUUAUAUUAUGACAUGGUCAAAUAAGUGUUUCUUAUUGGUCAAUUUUUUAAUCUUACAUGGAUAGUCUCUCCUUUGAGCAUAUCCUCUUUUACUUAUUGUUUGAUUUUAAUGUAAAAGUGGUGGUAAUGAUUAUGCCAUGUGGCAUUUUUUUGUAAAUUUCCUAAAAAUUAGAUUUGGACAACUAUAUUUUUUAAUUUAUUUAUAGGUUGACACAUAAACGAAAUUAACAGCUUAAUUAACUGAAACAUAAAAAAAAAAAAAAUUUAAUUAGUACAAAAUACAUGUUAUAACUUUUUAAAUGUUUCUCUAUUAAUAUAUAGGGAAUUCCAAACAAACUUUAUUAACCCGCCGGAAACAUUUCUUUGUCAAUUUUAUAUAGAAAUUUGAUUCGUUUAAAAACCUUCAUAUCAUAAGUUCAUAACAUAUUCUUACUGUUCAAUUUUUUUUUUCUUUUUGGAAUUUUCGGUACACAUCUGGGUUUCUUAUUGUUUUCAAUAAAGACUGGCUUACAAAUUAGCAAUAAAAUAAAACAGCAUACAUCUUACCCUUAUCGCUUUUCUAUAUACUACCCCACUGGAUUCUUACCAACAACUGUAGUUUGUCUUACUCAAAACAUCAACCAGGAAAGUUAGAACCCACAAAAAAAAGGGAAAUGGAUCUUGCUCCUGAAAGUUCACUUAUUGAGAAAGAAAAUCUAGACUCAUCGGCUACAACUAUAACUCUAUUCCUCACUACUUUUGUAGCUGUGGCUGGUUCCUUCGUUUUUGGCUCAGCUAUAGGAUACUCAUCACCCGUCCAGUCCGACUUAACGAACGACUUGAAUCUAUCUGUGGCAGAGUAUUCGCUCUUCGGUUCGAUUUUGACAGUUGGGGCAAUGAUUGGUGCAGCUAUGAGUGGACGAAUUUCUGAUUUGAUUGGCAGACGAGCUACAAUGGGUUUCUCGGAGAUGUUUUGCAGUCUUGGUUGGUUAGUGAUCUACCUUUCUAAGGUUACAAUUUGGCUUGACGCUGGAAGAUUCUUGGUCGGUUACGGGAUGGGCAUUCUUUCGUUUGUGGUCCCUGUAUAUAUAGCUGAGAUUACUCCUAAGGAUCUUCGAGGUUGCUUUACAACAGUUCAUCAGCUAAUGAUAUGUUUGGGUGUCUCCAUAACAUAUCUACUAGGCUCUUUUGUUGGUUGGCGAAUAUUGGCUUUGAUAGGUAUGGUACCAUGUGUUGUACAAAUUAUGGGAUUAAUUUUCAUUCCAGAAUCACCAAGAUGGUUGGCAAAAGUUGGCAGAUGGGAAGAAUUUGAAAUUGUAUUGCAACGAUUAAGAGGAGAAUCUGCAGACGUUUCUAAUGAAUCUAGUGAGAUCAAAGAGUAUACACGCAGACUGUCACAAAUUUCAGAAGGUGGUAUAUUUGAUUUGUUCCAAGAGCAGUACUCGAAAUCUCUACUUGUGGGAGUUGGUCUAAUGGCAUUGCAACAAUUUGGAGGCGUUAAUGGAAUUUCCUUUUAUGCCAGCUCUAUUUUUGUAUCUGCGGGGCUUUCUUCCAAAAUUGGAAUGAUUGCAAUGGUUAUUGUACAGAUCCCAAUGACAACUAUAGGCGUAAUUCUGAUGGAUAAAUCAGGCAGACGACCACUCAUUCUUAUUUCUGCUGCGGGCACAUUUAUCGGGUGUUUACUCGUCGCCUUAUCAUUUUCCUUACAGGGUGUAAGGACGUUUAGUGGAGGGGCUUCAUAUAUAGCCCUCACUGGCGUUCUGGUGUAUACAGGUUCAUUUUCGCUAGGAAUGGGUGGGAUACCUUGGGUCAUUAUGUCAGAGAUAUAAAAGGAUCAGCAGGAAGUCUUGUGACUGUUGUUAGCUGGGUUGGAUCUUGGAUUGUAUCCUUUGCAUUUAACUUCCUAAUGAAUUGGAGUCCUGCAGGAACAUUUUAUGUUUUCGCUACAAUUUGCGGGGUUACUGUUAUAUUUGUAGCAAAACUUGUACCAGAAACCAAAAGUCGAACGCUUGAGGAAAUUCAAUUUUCUAUUAAUUAUGUAACAUUGUAAUGUUUAGAUUGUUUAUUACAAAGAUACCAAUUAUUAAACACUAACUUUUAAAUAUGAUAUUUCCUUUCUUUUUUA